rnacentral:rRNA from 1 species
CUAGACUCCUACGGGAGGCAGCAGUGGGGGAUAUUGCACAAUGGGGGAAACCCUGAUGCAGCGACGCCGCGUGGGUGAAGAAGCGCCUCGGCGCGUAAAGCCCUGUCAGCAGGGAAGAAAAUGACGGUACCUGAAGAAGAAGCCCCGGCUAACUACGUGCCAGCAGCCGCGGUAAUACGUAGGGGGCAAGCGUUAUCCGGAUUUACUGGGUGUAAAGGGGGCGCAGACGGCGAUGCAAGCCAGGAGUGAAAGCCCGGGGCUUAACCCCGCGGAUUGCUUUUGGAACUGUCUGGCUGGAGUGCAGGAGGGGCAGGCGGAAUUCCUGGUGUAGCGGUGAAAUGCGUAGAUAUCAGGAGGAACACCGGUGGCGAAGGCGGCCUGCUGGACUGUAACUGACACUGAGGCUCGAAAGCGUGGGGAGCAAACAGGAUUAGAUACCCCUGUA